rnacentral:lncRNA from 1 species
CGCUCGUCCCGCUCCCCCCCAAAGGACAUUCCAGCCCAGUCAGCCCAUCGUGCCAGGGCAACCAGGGCCGGACUUUGGCCUAAUCCUCCCGCCGCCUGGCCAGGCUGGGGGACCCCCACUCACCUCCCCAUCUCUGGGGACUGCCCGACUCUGCUGUGGCGGAGACACACAAUCAGGACAAAGGCGCAGGCCCCGGGGGGCUAACUCAGCCUUCACGCCCAGGUUGUGGGGCAUUUGGGGAGUUUAAUGAAUUGUCCAUCAUGCCUUUCAGGGCUGGCCCGUCAGGCUGGAUUAAUCUUCGGAGCCCUGGUGGGGUAGGAGACACUAAGCCUGUAUUUAUUACUCUCCCAUUGUCACUAAUUGAGGUAAUUAUCUGUGACUCUGGCCCUGGCCAACAAUGCUGCAUUCACUCCCCCGACCUCAGAUGGGCCUGGCUCUCACUCUCAGCUCCCCCCUCCCCAGCUCCUGUCUCCCCCAAACCCACCAAGGGCCAAUUCAGACCCCGGAGCAUCUUGGGAGAAUGGGCAAUAUCCCACAUAACUGGGGAGCUGUCCACAUUCUUGAAAAAGGGACGAGUGACAUCAUUCAGGUGGAGAAAAUCUUCUGAUCCACUCUCAGAUCCUGGCAGCUGCCAAUACCCUGCAUUAUACAGAACAUGCAGUUCCCCCACUCCAUUCCAGACUUCUGCCUUCAUCUCUCUUGGACUCCAAAACCCUCUACAAUAAUUUCCAGGGUGGCUUGGUGUAGGGGGAAGAAGAUGGAACAGAGAUGAAGGGGAUCUAUACUUCCAGGAUGUUCUGGGGCUGGGGUCAGCAGAGAACGCAGGGGAAACUCCAUGAUGUAUGGCUUUGGGGAAGGGCCUGUAUACAAACUAACUUAGCAAGGGCAGAUGGGGUGUAGUGGAUAAAGCAGAAAGAUCUGCAUUCAAAUCUAGCUUCAUACACUUAUUGUGUGACUCUGGGCAAGUCACUUAUUUCUUUAAAUGUAAAAAGGGGGAAAUAAUGGCACCUCCCUUAUAGAGAUCAAAUGAAACAACAUGUGUAAAUCUCUUGCCACAUAGUAGGUGCUAUAUAAAUGCUUAUUCUCUUCCUCUUUCUUUCUCCUUCUCCAAUAUACUAAAGAUUCC